rnacentral:rRNA from 1 species
GACGAACGCUGGCGGCGUGCUUAACACAUGCAAGUCGAACGGAAAGGCCCUGCUUUUGUGGGGUGCUCGAGUGGCGAACGGGUGAGUAACACGUGAGUAACCUGUCCUUGACUUUGGGAUAACUUCAGGAAACUGGGGCUAAUACCGGAUAGGAUCUCCUGCUGCAUGGUGGGGGUUGGUAAGUUUCGGCGGUUGGGGAUGGACUCGCGGCUUAUCAGCUUGUUGGUGGGGUAGUGGCAUACCAAGGUUUUGAAGGGUAGCCGGCCUGAGAGGCUUACCGGCCACAUUGGGCCUGAGAUACGGCCCAGACUCCAACGGGAGGCAACGGUGGAGAGUAUUGCACAGUAGGCGGGAGCCAGAUACGACGACGCCGCGUGCGGGAUGCCGGCCUUCGGGUUGUGAACCGCUUUCGCCUGUGACGAGGCGUGAGUGACGGUAAUGGGUAAAGAAGCACCGGCUAACUACGUG